rnacentral:rRNA from 1 species
GACGAACGCUGGCGGCGUGCUUAACACAUGCAAGUCGAACGGAAAGGCCAUGCCUUUGGGGGCUGCUGGAGUGGCGAACGGGUGAGUAACACGUGAGUAACCUGCCCUUGACUUAGGGAGAACUUCAGGACACAGGGGCUAAUACCUGAAAGGAGCUCCUGCUGUUUGGUGGGGGUUGGAAUGAUUCGGCGGUUGGGGAUGGACUCGCGGCCUAUCGGCUUGUUGGUGGGGUAGUGGCUUACCAAGGCCUUGCGGGGUAGCCGGCCUGAGAGGGUGAGCGGCUCCGUUACGCCGGAGCUAGGGCCCAGCCUCGUAUGGUACGCAGCGGAGGAGAAUAGUGCACAAUGAGGUGGGGCCAGAUGGAGGGAGGCAGUGUGCGGGAUGACGUGCUUGGGGUUGUGAACCAAUUCUGUCUGAGCCGAAACGAGAGUGACGGUACUGGGAAAAGAAGCACCGGCUAACUACGUG